rnacentral:tRNA from 1 species
UCUUUGUUGGUGUGAAGCACGGGAACAUUUGAUUUUCCAAGAGAGUUAUUUGCUCACAGAGAG